rnacentral:rRNA from 1 species
AUGCUCGUCACUCCCCUUGUAGCAUCCAGCAUAGACGUUGGCAGGAAAGCGAAAAAGAUAUUCACACAGCAUAUGAGUCAUGGUUUUAAAAAAAGCUGGACAACAACCUUUAAGAAAACAGAAAGAAUGUGCGGAUCGCCGCAAAAAAUAUGUACCAAAACUUGUUUCUCAUACUCGAUGAUAAAUCGAAAAGAAAAAAGGAAAGCCAUUCUCAUGGAAAAGAUAGUGUUUCUUAAAGGGCCGCUUCACCGAAAAUAUAGCUUCCAAGCAACGAGGCUUGUGGUUGGGGCAGCCACCGACUGGACUGGACUGGACUAG